ACGGGUGGUAAUGCCGGAUGUUCCAGUUGAUCGCAUGGUCUUCUGGGAAAGCUUUCGCGGUAUGGGAUGGGGUCGCGUCCUAUCAGCUUGACGGCGGGGUAACGGCCCACCGUGGCUUCGACGGGUAGCCGGCCUGAGAGGGCGACCGGCCACAUUGGGACUGAGAUACGGCCCAGACUCCUACGGGAGGCAGCAGUGGGGAAUAUUGCACAAUGGGCGCAAGCCUGAUGCAGCGACGCCGCGUGAGGGAUGGAGGCCUUCGGGUUGUAAACCUCUUUUAUCGGGGAGCAAGCGAGAGUGAGUUUACCCGUUGAAUAAGCACCGGCUAACUACGUGCCAGCAGCCGCGGUAAUACGUAGGGUGCAAGCGUUAUCCGGAAUUAUUGGGCGUAAAGGGCUCGUAGGCGGUUCGUCGCGUCCGGUGUGAAAGUCCAUCGCUUAACGGUGGAUCCGCGCCGGGUACGGGCGGGCUUGAGUGCGGUAGGGGAGACUGGAAUUCCCGGUGUAACGGUGGAAUGUGUAGAUAUCGGGA
rnacentral:rRNA from 1 species